UAUUCAUUAGUGUAGCCCUUCGGUCUAGCA
rnacentral:piRNA from 1 species